CUUCCAUGGUGGGAGACCACCGCGGGAUGGACCUGUGCUCCUGACCAAGCCUGAAUUAUGAGAGAAUUCUUGUGCUUCUAAAGGCUUCUAAGGCAGAAAAGUAGACACAGGUUCUGAAAAUUCUGAUCUCAGAGUUCUGACUUUCCCAGGCAUGAGGCUCCCUUUGAGGCCCUCAGUUCCACUAGCAAAGCAUGGGGUGCUUCCCGGCCACCCUGCAAGCUGGGCUCCCAGACUCAUGAGAGCGUUUCCCAGCUGGGUCAGAAGUAACGCAUCCCUAAGCUGCUCCAAGUAACAAUCCUGUUAGUGGACCGGAAAGCCGCUUGUUCUCAGACCAUUGAUUUCAAAGCUAGAAAACAGCAGGUAA
rnacentral:lncRNA from 10 species